UCUACUAUCUAAAUCUCCAAGGAGCUUCGGCUUCGGCGUUAUUUUUGAUCAUCAGCUUCGGCUUCGUCGUCCUACAUGAAUAAGAUCGUUGUAAGUCAAAAUCGAGCUUACAAGAAAAGGUAAACACAAGGUAUGGUUUCUUACUGGUUCAAGGUGGCUACGAGCUUCGUCUCCUGCCUUUUCUCGCCCACCUUUUGUCCAUAUCAUUUUUAUGAAUCUAUUCGAGAUACUUCGGGCAAGAUCAGGAAUGUCGUCCAGGAUUGAUGGCGACAAAGUGAAAUUUGGCCUAUUCACAAUCCUUCCAUGCUCGCAGCCAGCCUUCAGGAAAGCCGCAGCAGUGCCUCGAGAAGCCACCCAGGCACAGAAGUCACCAUGCCCAGCUAUGACUUCGUCGAGCUCGUCAAUCUCCCCCUCAAUAUGUUCGAAGGUUUUUGGCAGAUCUUCAGCUGAGGGGGUAAAUUUUCCACUACUGGCUCCAACCGAGUAAAAAAUCUUUCUUAGUCGUUGAAUGCACUUGUUGCUAAAUUCCAGGCAUUUUUCUUGAAGAUUUGUCAGUAGUUUUCUCAAAUCCGAAUUUUGCUGAGCUUCGGCUUCAAGUUUUGCAUUGAGAUCUUGUUUUUCCCGUUCGAACUGCUCAGACUGGCGGAGAAGCUUUGUGUUCAGUUCUGAUAUUUUUGCUUCAGCUUCCGCCAGUAAACCUUCGGCUGCCUGGAGCUCAAAGUUCUUUUUCUCAAAAGCAUCUGAUUGCUCCUUUAUUUUGUUUUCCAAAUUUCCAAUUAUAACUUCAUGCUUUUUAUCUUCAAGAUCUUGCUGCAUUUGCAGGGCUUUGCUCAAUAGCAUGCUCUACAUAAACACAACCUUCGUCAGACAUGUUUUUAUUAGAAGCAAUAAAAGUUAAGGGACAAGUCAUUCACCUUGAAGUUGGAGUAAAAUAAACUACCAACGACAUGUUGUCGUCGGUAGCGGCUGAUGUCUGUUUCUAGUUUCGGGAAUCCAAUACUCUUGGACAGAGUACUGAUAACUUUGGCCCCUGUUUGGUCCCGAAUACACUCUAAUUUCUCGUCAUCAACGCCUCCGAAGAGGAGUGCCCCAGGUUUGUAUCCACAGGAUUGGGCAUACUCUUUAAGCUCUUCUAUUUCAGCUUUCGUUAGAUGUUCUCCAACUAAGUUUUGGAACGCGAAGGCUUCGUUUUCUGAAGCUUCAUCAGCAAUUUCUUUUCCUUUCUUUGACGCUGCGGUCACAGUCUCUUCGGCAGCAGUGGCAGCUUCUUCUGCAGCCAUGUCUAGCAGCAUUUGGUCAAUAUGUUCAAUUGUGCUCUCUAAAUUCAAAUCUUCAGCUGAGGUAACUUCGGCGGCUGCGGCCUCCGAAGGUGCAAUUUCAAUAUCUGCCCCCUCUGCAGCUGCUCGUGUUUUUUGGGCCGAAGCUCUUGGCGGCGUUUUGUCAAUUACCUCUGUCACGGUAAUGAUUCUUUGUUUCCUUGCCUUGAUUGUUUUCUUCGAUUUCUCGGGCUCCUUGUCCUUCUGAAAAAACUUUGUCAGUUGAGGACCCAGUGGACUUAGCUUCGCAGGUAAGGAUUCAGUCAUUACCUUCAGAAUUUCUUCAACAACAGCAGCAGAAGGUGAUGCGGGAGUUUCUUCUGCUUCGGAUAUUUGUUGCUUCGGAGAAGAAGCUUUCCUUUUCUUCGGAAUUUUCUUCGUUACUGGCUCUUUUUCACCUUCAUCUAAGGCUUCAGUUACCCUUUUCCUUUUUUGGCCUCCGGCACCUUUGUUCAGAUUUUCGUAGUCUGGGUAUUCGAAACCCAAGGCGUCCAACACUCGAUUUAGCCUUCGUUUCGGACGAGUGCCGAAGGCUGCGGUCAUCAAUUGAUCUUCUUUUUUGGAAUAAUUGCCAAGUAUUUCAUUACACAUUGCUUCAAUCGUAUCUAGCCACUCUUGGCAAGGUGCUUUAAAGUACUUUUUAAACUUGAAAUAGUAAGGUAAACGUACGAGUUCACCUUCUUUCUUUUCCCCCUGUAGCUUCGGCAUUUCCCAUUCUUUCAAACUGGGAAAAACUUUGAAUGCUAAAAACUCUUGAACCAGGUCCCUUGUGCUGAUAUGCUCUGCAAUAAUUCUGAAUUCACUCAUUGCUUGUUGUGUUGGACCUUCGGGUGUCAUAUUGCAGCGAGGUCGUGUUUCUCCGAAGAUUAAUUCCAGCGGGCUUUGUACAAGCUUUUCCUUGUCGUCAUCAACCUUGACAUAGAACCACUCUGAUUUCCAGCCUGCUGCCCACUUGCUUCGGUAGCUAAUUACAGGGAACUUUGUAGUUUUCCGAUAUGCAAAGUUAUAGCAACCAAAAUUAUCGUGCAAUCCAUCUUUUCUAGCCUUUGUUUGAUAAUGUAGCUCGUGAACCCGGCAGAAGCUGUCUGCAAAUGGUUCCACUGCUUGGCUUCGGAGUGCCCAGAUAUAAACAAUAAGCCUAACGAUAGCGUUAGGGGUCAGCUGAUGAAAAUAGAUACCGAACCUUUUCAGUACCUCUCCUAUAAUCCCAUGUAGGGGGAACCUUAAUCCAGCCUUUAGAAAACUUUUAAAAAUAACAAUCUCAUCCUUCUCUGGCUUCGGGGUAGUCUCUUCUCCACCGAAGCGCAACAGCUUCUUCUGAUUUUCAGUGAAAAAGCCCGAUUUUACCAUCUUGGAUAGAUCAGUCUUCGAAACAGUAGAUUUUCCGAAGUCCAAGUGGCUCGGCUUGCUUGGCAUGGCAAUGCGGUAAUCAUCUUCGGAAUCAGUUUCCUCAAUAUCUUCUUCCUCUCCUUCAGCGAUUGCUUGUUCUGUAUCAUCAUGAGGGAUCUUUCCCGAAGUCACUAGACACGAUCGUUGCAUGGCUUCGGAGAUGGGGAGAGUCUCCGAAGCUUCAGUUUCUUCUCCCUCGCGCUCAACCCUGGCGGUAGAGCGGACUCUGGCCAUUCAAUUAUGAACUUGUGAAACUUUAAAAUUUUCUUCCUCCGAAGCAGGUUUCAAACUGCAGCUUCGUUCGGUUCUAACAGACAAGCUUCGGUGAUGGUUAAAAAUUUUGGCAGGAAAACAGUGCAAAUAGCAAUGAAUGCUGUGGUAACUUCACACCUACUCGUCUGUUUAUAUAGUGCUGCAGGUAAGAAGGCGAAGCGCUAGAGUUUUUACACCAGGCGCACACCCGCUUGCGCUCGCUGCGCAGUGGACCGCAGGGACAAACAGUAAACUCUGCAAGGUGGGACCGCUACGUGCUGAGAAAUUAAAUCGUUUCUCGGCAACGAGCUCAGGGAAGGUGUUUUUUGGACCUUCGGCUCCCCGAAGCUUAAGAGACUUUUUUCACGGAUCAAGCUCGUUACGAAAAACGAUCUAGCACCGCGAAAGGGGCUACUGUUGGGUCUAUGCUUCGUCGCCGAAGGUCUUCAAGGGAGAAGCUCAAAAGAUACAAAGGUUGACACAGCGCCGAAGCUGUGAAGCAGGAAAGCUUCGGCAUGUUCGCAGAAAAGGGAACCGACUUAAAGAUGAAAAGGCCAUUUAGACCUCGAUAGAAUGCUAUGGAAUUAUCACCAAAUGUAAAGGGCAUGUAUGUAAUUUUGUAUGGGUCGUACCCCGUGCCUAUAAAUAGGUGAACAGUACCCCCGUACUGUUCACGGGGACUUGGCAUUUGCUUUUGCGUCACACCUGUAUUUUCAUCUCCUUCUAAGCCGAAGCAUUUGAGAACAAGUCCCCAACAUAAAGGGUCCUCGAUCAACAAGCCUACAUCGACAAGGUCCUUAAUCGACUCAGACGGAGACACUACACCGAGACUCCUUUCUCGUGCAAGUCACCCGCCCGGUCUCAGCUUAAUCAUUUCAAACCCAAAGUUUGGUACCUGGCAGAGGUACAUCUUUUCCGAUGUUGAACCUAUCAAGGCCUUUGAUAGAUCCAUCAUCAAGUUUUAUUUUCGAAAACAUCCCACCCACUUUUGCCACAUCAUAUUUUGUAAAAACAAAACAUUUUGUUUUUCUAAAGCAAGGCUAAGCAUCAAAAUCUUUUGUAAAACGGGUGAUCAAGGAAGGUAAUCAAAUUCAAGGAAGGUAAUGCAGGAAUUGUUUUAUCAAUCAACUCCUAUCACCUAAUGCAUCAAGCAAGUGAGAAAGAUUUUAAAAACAACAAGGAGGGUGGCAAAUGCACCGGGGCUUGCCUGAGUAACACUAGGUUAGUGUUGUUAGUCGAUGAGCACUUGACGACCAUCUUCAGGUUUGUCCAUCAGCAUCGCCUUGCGAAGAAGCCCAUGCUUGGGGUCGACUUGGCUCGUCUUCCGCAUCACGCGAUUAAUUAACGUACCUGAAUGAAAUGCAUUAUGCACAUGAAUGCAUAUAGACGAAAAUAUUACGAACCUAAAUAGUGCUACGCCGACAAGAAUUAAAUACUUAGUGACGAAGCGUC
rnacentral:lncRNA from 1 species